GAGGGAUAUUGGGCAAUGGGGGAAACCCUGACCCAGCAACGCCGCGUGAGGGAUGACGGUUUUCGGAUUGUAAACCUCUGUCCUCUGUGAAGAUAGUGACGGUAGCAGAGGAGGAAGCUCCGGCUAACUACGUGCCAGCAGCCGCGGUAAUACGUAGGGAGCAAGCGUUGUCCGGAUUUACUGGGUGUAAAGGGUGCGUAGGCGGAUUGGCAAGUCAGAAGUGAAAUCCAUGGGCUUAACCCAUGAACUGCUUUUGAAACUGUUAGUCUUGAGUGAAGUAGAGGUAGGCGGAAUUCCCGGUGUAGCGGUGAAAUGCGUAGAGAUCGGGAGGAACACCAGUGGCGAAGGCGGCCUACUGGGCUUUAACUGACGCUGAGGCACGAAAGUGUGGGUAGCAAACAGGAUUAGAUACCCUGGUAGUCCACACUGUAAACGAUGAUUACUAGGUGUGGGGGGUCUAACCCCCUCCGUGCCGGAGUUAACACAAUAAGUAAUCCACCUGGGGAGUACGACCGCAAGGUUGAAACUCAAAGGAAUUGACGGGGGCCCGCACAAGCAGUGGAGUAUGUGGUUUAAUUCGACGCAACGCGAAGAACCUUACCAGGUCUUGACAUCCAACUAACGAAGCAGAGAUGCGUUAGGUGCCCUUCGGGGAAAGUUGAGACAGGUGGUGCAUGGUUGUCGUCAGCUCGUGUCGUGAGAUGUUGGGUUAAGUCCCGCAACGAGCGCAACCCUUGUGAUUAGUUGCUACGCAAGAGCACUCUAAUCAGACUGCCGUUGACAAAACGGAGGAAGGUGGGGACGACGUCAAAUCAUCAUGCCCUUUAUGACCUGGGCUACACACGUACUACAAUGGUCGUUAACAGAGGGAAGCAAUACCGCGAGGUGGAGCAAAACCCUAAAAACGGUCUCAGUUCAGAUUGUAGGCUGCAACUCGCCUACAUGAAGUUGGAAUUGCUAGUAAUCGCGGAUCAGCAUGCCGCGGUGAAUACGUUCCCG
rnacentral:rRNA from 1 species